UGGGGGAAACCCUGAUCCAGCCAUGCCGCGUGUGUGAUGAAGGCCUUCGGGUUGUAAAGCACUUUCGCACGUGACGAUGAUGACGGUAACUGUGAGAAGAAGCCCCGGCUAACUUCGUGCCAGCAGCCGCGGUAAUACUGAAGGGGGCAAGCGUUGUUCGGAAUUACUGGGCGUAAAGGGCGCGUAGGCGGUGCACUAAGUCAGGCGUGAAAGCCCUGGGCUCAACCCGGGAAUUGCGUUUGAUACUGGUGCGCUUGAAUCCAGGAGAGGGUGGUGGAAUUCCCAGCGUAGAGGUGAAAUUCGUAGAGAUUGGGAAGAACACCGGUGGCGAAGGCGGCCAACUGGACUGGUAUUGACGCUGAGGCGCGAAAGCGUGGGGAGCAAACAGGAUUAGAUACCCUGGUAGUCCACGCUGUAAACGAUGUGUGCUAGCCGUUGGGGCUCUUAGAGCCUC
rnacentral:rRNA from 1 species